AUUGAACGCUGGCGGCAUGCCUUACACAUGCAAGUCGAACGGCAGCACGGGUGCUUGCACCUGGUGGCGAGUGGCGAACGGGUGAGUAAUAUAUCGGAACGUACCUUAUCGUGGGGGAUAACGCAGCGAAAGUUGCGCUAAUACCGCAUACGCCCUAAGGGGGAAAGCAGGGGACCGUAAGGCCUUGCGCGAUUAGAGCGGCCGAUAUCUGAUUAGCUAGUUGGUGAGGUAAAGGCUCACCAAGGCGACGAUCAGUAGCUGGUCUGAGAGGACGAUCAGCCACACUGGGACUGAGACACGGCCCAGACUCCUACGGGAGGCAGCAGUGGGGAAUUUUGGACAAUGGGGGCAACCCUGAUCCAGCAAUGCCGCGUGAGUGAAGAAGGCCUUCGGGUUGUAAAGCUCUUUUGUCAGGGAAGAAACAGCAGCUCUAAUACAGUUUGCGAAUGACGGUACCUGAAGAAUAAGCACCGGCUAACUACGUGCCAGCCGCCGCGGUAA
rnacentral:rRNA from 1 species